AUACUAGGAAAGCAAUAACAGGUUAUAGAAAUACAGAAUGAGUCUGAAAAAAAUAAUAGCACAUAGGAUCAAAUCUAAAACACCAGGCAUGGUGACUCAGGCCUGUAAUCCCAGUGGUUCAGGAGACUGAGGCAGGAGGAUCAGAAAUUUGGGACCAGCUUUGGCAACUUGCCAACACCCUGUCUCAAAAUAUAACAAGGGUUAGAGACGCAGCUGAGUGGUAAAGUACCCCUGGGUUCAAUCCCCAGUUCUGCCCCACCGCACACAAAAGUAGAAUGUCAGCUUCAAGGGGACAAGGAUGGAACCAAGGGGAAACACGGAUAAAUCCUCAAGCUUAAUUUGCUUUUAACUAAUGCUUUCAUCACCAAUUUUAUGGGU
rnacentral:lncRNA from 1 species